CCAGCACCCCGAGUGGUCGGGACGAUUAUUGGGCCUAAAGCAUCCGUAGCCGGUUUUACAAGUCCUCCGUUAAAUCCAACUGCUUAACAGAUGGGCCGCGGAGGAUACGAUAAGACUAGGAGGCAGGAGAGGCAAGCGGUACUCAGUGGGUAGGGGUAAAAUCCGUUGAUCCAUUGAAGACCACCAGUGGCGAAGGCGGCUUGCCAGAAUGCGCUCGACGGUGAGGGAUGAAAGCUGGGGGAGCAAACCGGAUUAGAUACCCGGGUAGUCCCAGCUGUAAACGAUGCAGACUCGGUGAUGGACUAGCUUUAUGCUAGUCCAGUGCCGCAGGGAAGCCGUUGAGUCUGCCGCCUGGGGUAGUACGGUCGCAAGACUG
rnacentral:rRNA from 1 species